rnacentral:rRNA from 1 species
GACGUAGGGCGCGAGCGUGUCCGGAUUUAUUGGGCGUAAAGAGCUCGUAGGCGGUCUGUCGCGUCGGCUGUGAAAACCCGGGGCUCAACCCCGGGCCUGCAGUCGAUACGGGCAGACUAGAGUGCGGUAGGGGAGACUGGAAUUCCUGGUGUAGCGGUGAAAUGCGCAGAUAUCAGGAGGACACCGGUGGCGAAGGCGGGUCUCUGGGCCGUAACUGACGCUGAGGAGCGAAAGCGUGGGGAGCGAACAGG